CCUUUGUGAAAUAACCUGCAUCUGAUUUAAAUAAAACUAAAAUGAAGUUAUUGCUUUUGCAGGACAAGCAGACCCAAAUCUAGAGACCUCAGAAGAAGCUGCCGAGUGUCUUCUAAAGACACAAGCUGGAAUCUGGUGGAGAAGCUGCAACAGGAUGGUUGUAGUAUCCACUUUGACCAGCAGGUGGCGUAGCUCCACCUCAUCAUUCAGAAUGGUAAACCUAAUCGACCUUUGCUGGUUGUUCUGAGGAUUCAAAUAAAGAUAAAUGUCCUGUCUUCACUCCAACAUCAGAUAAAAUAUGGCUUUGUGGGAAGAAGAAAGAGUUGAACUGGACGUGAAGGAUGGGCAUACCCAAACACAGCAGAUGACUUUGUAAACUGUAAAAAUUUGCAAAAAUACAUGAACUGUAUAUUUUGAAUAAUUUCUAUACCUUGACAAGCUGUUUUAAUCAUGAAUUAAAAUAUGACAUUGUUCAGUUCCAGAUAGCUGUGACUAAAUGUGUUUCAUUUUCAGAAUAUACUUUUUGCAUUAA